CAGCCAACUCCAGUCUACUCGGAGGGGGAGGUGUUGAUGGCUGCAUACACAAGGCUGCGGGGGGAUGUCUGUAUGAUGAGUGUCACUCCCUUAAUGGCUGUGAAACCGGCAAGGCCAAAAUCACCUGUGGCUAUGAUCUGCCCGCCAAAUAUGUGAUCCACACUGUGGGACCGAUGGCGAGAGGUCGGGCCGGCCCUUCUGAGAGCAGUGACCUCAGCGCCUGCUACCAGAACUCCCUGAAGCUACUGGUGGACCACAAUCUGACCACUGUGGU